UGGACUAGGUGUCUCUUUGAUGUAAUU
rnacentral:piRNA from 1 species